rnacentral:rRNA from 1 species
AAAUUGAAGAGUUUGAUCAUGGCUCAGAUUGAACGCUGGCGGCAGGCCUAACACAUGCAAGUCGAGCGGUAGCACAGAGAGCUUGCUCUCGGGUGACGAGCGGCGGACGGGUGAGUAAUGUCUGGGAAACUGCCUGAUGGAGGGGGAUAACUACUGGAAACGGUGGCUAAUACCGCAUAAUGUCGCAAGACCAAAGUGGGGGACCUUCGGGCCUCAUGCCAUCAGAUGUGCCCAGAUGGGAUUAGCUAGUAGGUGGGG